UCUGGGAGGGGCAGGGAAGAGGAGGAGGCCGAUGCUGUCCUCUUAGAUCCUUCCUGGAGCAACCAUGGGUACCUCUGCGGCAGCGAUGCCCAGUGUUAGAAAGGCCAGAGCUAGCUCUGGUAGAAGGUGUCUGUGACGGAAGGCGCCUGCAUUGUUCGUUCUGUCCCCAUCCUGGAGUGAGGGCACCAGAGGCUGGAGAAAGCCCAGCUUCAGGACCACCAACCUUCCAGCACUUUCUGAGACAAGUGGGGACGUUACGUGUGCCUUGGCCAAAGACGCUGGCCUUCCAGAGAAGAGGAGCCACCCGAGGGACAUCGCCCAGGACAGUGAGAAUACACAGCAACCCUUAAAACUCAUUUUUGACAUCAGAGUUUGCAGGUGACGAAAGAGCCAGCUAGGGAUGCAGACGAUGGUGUCAUUGCAGGAGACGUCCCCCGAAGCUGGGACACUGAAUCGGGGCAGAGACGGGCCCACGGAGCGACGUGCUUCGUUCAAGCACAGGGACUGCACGGUCCACCUGGGUCCAACGUGGAAGCGUCCGCUGGCCCUGACCUGCGUGCAGGGCGGGUCUGUGUGCAUCCAGUGGCGGCUCACGCUGACCUCGAGUCCUGGUGUGCUGGCUCCUGGGGCCCCGGAUGGCUGGAGGACUCAGGGAAAUGUCCCACGUCUGUCCCCUUUGAGGAGUGGACCCCGAGCGCUCAGUAUGGUUCCCUCGGAGACCCA